rnacentral:rRNA from 1 species
ACGCAUCGAAAGACGUGCUAAUACCGCAUAUUCUCUAAGGAGGAAAGCAGGGGAUCGUANNNNCCUUGUGCUUUUAGAGCGGCCGAUGCCUGAUUAGCUUGUUGGUGGGGUAAUGGCCUACCAAGGCGACGAUCAGUAGCUGGUCUGAGAGGACGACCAGCCACACUGGGACUGAGACACGGCCCAGACUCCUACGGGAGGCAGCAGUGGGGAAUUUUGGACAAUGGGCGAAAGCCUGAUCCAGCCAUGCCGCGUGAGUGAAGAAGGCCUUCGGGUUGUAAAGCUCUUUCGGUCGGGAAGAAAUAGUUGCGGCUAAUAUCUGCAACAAAUGACGGUACCGACAUAAGAAGCACCGGCUAACUACGUGCCAGCAGCCGCGGUAAUACGUAGGGUGNNNGCGUUAAUCGGAAUUAUUGGGCGUAAAGGGUGCGCAGGUCGUUAUAUAAGUCAGAUGUGAAAUCCCUGGGCUUAACCUANGAAUUGCGUUUGAAACUAUAUAACUAGAGUGUGACAGANGGGAGUGGAAUUCCNUGUGUAGCAGUGAAAUGCGUAGAGAUGUGGAANAACACCGAUGGCGNNNNNAGCUCCCUGGGNUAACACUGACGCUCAUGCACGAAAGCGUGGGGAGCAAACANNAUUAGAUACCCUGGNAGUCNNCGCCCUAAACNAUGUCAACUAGU